rnacentral:rRNA from 1 species
UACAGAGGGUGCGAGCGUUGUUCGGAAUUAUUGGGCGUAAAGGGCGCGUAGGCGGUGCGGUAAGUCACCUGUGAAAUCUCCUGGCUCAACUGGGAGCUUGCAGGCGAAACUGCCGUGCUGGAGUGUGGGAGAGGUGCGUGGAAUUCCUGGUGUAGCGGUGAAAUGCGUAGAUAUCAGGAGGAACACCGGUGGUGUAGACGGCUUUCUGGACCGUAACUGACGCUGAGGAGCGAAAGCGUGGGGAGCGAACAGG